rnacentral:rRNA from 1 species
AUUGAACGCUGGCGGCGUGCUUAACACAUGCAAGUCGAACGCGAAAGGGACUUCGGUCCUGAGUAAAGUGGCGCACGGGUGAGUAACGCGUGGAUAAUCUGCCCUUAUGAUUGGAAUAACAGUUGGAAACGGCUGCUAAUACCGGAUACGCUCAAAAUGAACUUUUUGAGGAAAGAUGGCCUCUGCUUGCAUGCUAUCGCAUAAGGAUGAGUCCGCGUCCCAUUAGCUUGUUGGCGGGGUAACGGCCAACCAAGGCAACGAUGGGUAGCCGAUUUGAGAGCAUGAUCGGCCACACUGGAACUGAAACACGGUCCAGACUCCUACGGGAGGCAGCAGUGGGGAAUAUUGCGCAAUGGGCGAAAGCCUGACGCAGCGACGCCGCGUGAGGGAUGAAGGUUUUCGGAUCGUAGACCUCUGUCAGAAGGGAAGAAACUACGUUGUGCUAAUCAGCAGCGUACUGACGGUACCUUCAAAGGAAGCACCGGCUAACUCCGUGCCAGCCGCCGCGGUAA